rnacentral:sRNA from 1 species
UUUCCUCAACGCUGGUCGACCUUAAAACAAUUGAUCUUAACGUCUCUCAAAGUUUUGUAGACUCACAUAUUUAGGUACAGUCGCGUGGCCUGUUAGCAUUUUCUCUAAGCAGUGCGCAUGCCCGGAAGUUCAGAUAUGAAAAACUCCACAAAGCGAGGCUUGCCAUUGGCUGGCAACCAUAUUACGACACCAUCAAUUUAAUUUCUACUUUCCAACAGGUGAUUUCAGUUCUGCCACACCCUUCUACCUAAGUCUUCUACAUUCAAACAAAAUUUAUUUCAGAACUAUUAGAGCUCACCAAGUUUCACAGGACAUCACAUCUAUCAAGAAACAUGCAGGUCUUUGUUCUAAGUUGUCUCCUCCUGAUGGCUGGCCUGUCUUCUGCCUCUGCAGACUGUAUGCGGGAUUGUCUACAAAAACAAUGCCCAAUGGCAUUAGCGCCAACGCAUUUCUUUGGUUUUGGCUACGAGUAUGGUCGUGGCUGUCUGGAAGAGUUCGCCAAGUGCCGUGAGCAAUGCAAAGAAAAUCAUGAGAAUUAACUGUUGUAUGAGCCUGGCGCUGCUCACGAGAGAGGACAUUUUCUAAUGAAACUUUAGUUUAGGCUUGUUGAAAUAAAUAUUUUAUUCCUCUGUCUUGGCUGAAUCAAAAAAAGUAAAAAUAUU